AUACGGAGGGUGCAAGCGUUACUCGGAAUCACUGGGCGUAACGCGCGCGCAGGCGGUCUUUUAAGUUGGAUGUGAAAGCCUACGGCUCAACCGGAGAACUGCAUCCAAAACUAUUAGACUAGAGUGUGGGAGAGGAAGAUGGAAUUAGUUGUGUAGGGGUAAAAUCCGUAGAGAUAACUAGGAAUACCAAAAGCGAAGGCAAUCUUCUGGAACACUACUGACGCUGAGGAACGAAAGCGUGGGUAGCAAACAGGAUUAGAAACCCCAGUAGUCC
rnacentral:rRNA from 1 species